UACGUAGGGGGCAAGCGUUGUCCGGAAUCAUUGGGCGUAAAGAGCGCGUAGGCGGUCCGGUAAGUCCGCUCUGAAAGUCCGGGGCUCAACCCCGGGAGGCGGGCGGAUACUGUCGGGCUAGAGUCCGGAAGAGGCGAGUGGAAUUCCUGGUGUAGCGGUGAAAUGCGCAGAUAUCAGGGGGAACACCAAUGGCGAAGGCGGCAUCCUGGACCGAAAUUGACGCUGAGGCGCGAAAGCCAGGGGAGCAAACGGG
rnacentral:rRNA from 1 species